rnacentral:rRNA from 1 species
GAGUGCAAGCUUAAAACUUAAAGGACUUGACGGUGCUAUCUAUUCAGAGGAGCCUGUUCUAUAAUUGAUAAUCCUCGUUAUACCUACCUUUCUUAGCUAAUCAGUCUGUAUACUUCCGUCGUAAGCUUACCAUAUGAAUGUGUUAGUAGGCUAAAUAGUUAAAACGUCAGGUCAAAGUGCAGCCAAAAGAAAGGGAAGAAAUGGGCUACUAUUUCUAACUAAAGAACUAACGAAGCAUCUAACAACGCUAUGAAGGUGGAUUUAAAAGUAAAGUGAAAUUAGAGUGUUCACUUUAAUAAUGCUCUAGGCAGUGUACACACCGCCCGUCAUCCU